rnacentral:tRNA from 1 species
GACCCCAUAGUUUAACCGGAUAAAACAAUAGCCUCCUAAGCUGUGGAUCCAGGUUCGAGCCCUGGUGGGGUCACCA